ACCUACGGGAGGCAGCAGUAGGGAAUCUUCCACAAUGGGCGAAAGCCUGAUGGAGCAACGCCGCGUGGGUGAAGAAGGUCUUCGGAUCGUAAAACCCUGUUGUUAGAGAAGAAAGUGCGUGAGAGUAACUGUUCACAUUUCGACGGUAUCUAACCAGAAAGCCACGGCUAACUACGUGCCAGCAGCCGCGGUAAUACGUAGGUGGCAAGCGUUAUCCGGAUUUAUUGGGCGUAAAGGGAACGCAGGCGGUCUUUUCAGUCUGAUGUGAAAGCCUUCGGCUUAACCGGAGUAGUGAAUUGGAAACU
rnacentral:rRNA from 1 species